rnacentral:rRNA from 1 species
GUGGGGAAUCUUCCACAAUGGACGAAAGUCUGAUGGAGCAACGCCGCGUGAGUGAAGAAGGGUUUUGGCUCGUAAAGCUCUGUUGUCGGGGACGAAUGUGCAGUAUUUGAAUAAAGUAGUGUAAUGACGGUACCUGACGAGGAAGCCACGGCUAACUACGUGCCAGCAGCCGCGGUAAUACGUAGGUGGCAAGCGUUGUCCGGAAUUAUUGGGCGUAAAGGGAGCGCAGGCGGGAAGGUAAGUCGGUCUUAAAAGUGCGGGGCUCAACCCCGUGAUGGGAUCGAAACUAUCUUUCUUGAGUGCAGGAGAGGAAAGUGGAAUUCCUAGUGUAGCGGUGAAAUGCGUAGAUAUUAGGAGGAACACCAGUGGCGAAGGCGACUUUCUGGACUGUAACUGACGCUGAGGCUCGAAAGCCAGGGGAGCGAACGGGAUUAGAAACCCUAGUAGUCC